GUCUCCGGCCAUACCCCCCUGAACGAGCCUGAUCUCGUCUGAUCUUGGAAGCUAAGCAGGGUCGGGCCUGGUUAGUACUUGGAUGGGAGACCACCUGGGAAUACUGGGUGCUGUAGGCU
ensembl:rRNA 5S_rRNA 5S ribosomal RNA